AUACGAAGGGGACUAGCGUUGUUCGGAAUUACUGGGCGUAAAGCGCACGUAGGCGGAUUUGUAAGUCAGGGGUGAAAUCCCGGGGCUCAACCUCGGAACUGCCUUUGAUACUGCGAAUCUCGAGUCCGAUAGAGGUGGGUGGAAUUCCUAGUGUAGAGGUGAAAUUCGUAGAUAUUAGGAAGAACACCGGUGGCGAAGGCGGCCCACUGGAUCGGUACUGACGCUGAGGUGCGAAAGCGUGGGGAGC
rnacentral:rRNA from 1 species